UACGUAGGUGGCAAGCGUUAUCCGGAAUUAUUGGGCGUAAAGAGCGUGCAGGUGGUUGAUUAAGUCUGAUGUGAAAGCCCACGGCUUAACCGUGGAGGGUCAUUGGAAACUGGUCGACUUGAGUGCAGAAGAGGGAAGUGGAAUUCCAUGUGUAGCGGUGAAAUGCGUAGAGAUAUGGAGGAACACCAGUGGCGAAGGCGGCUUCCUGGUCUGUAACUGACACUGAGGCGCGAAAGCGUGGGGUAGCAAACAGGAUUAGAUACCCCU
rnacentral:rRNA from 1 species